rnacentral:lncRNA from 1 species
CGUGAUUGCUGGGGCUGACUCUAGCUCUUCCAGGGGCCGUCGUUCUUUUACAAAGGGGGGUGGAGGUUGUUGUUGACUUUUUUUUUUUUAUGAAUGGAGGGCGGCGGCGACUGCAGCAGCUGGCUCAGCUGCGCGGGCUGUACCCCCUCCCAGCCUGCGAGAGGAGGUACAACUGCUCUGCUAGAGGCAAAACCCUAACAACUGCGUUCCUGCCCGUGCUAACGACAGUCCUUUCACCGAGCCUCACUUGCCCGCUCAGCCUGCUGCUCAGCAGAGAGUUUGUGAAGCCACAUACCGAACCCUUUCCCACAGCCCAGGGAAGAUGAGUCAGAAACAUGGCAAACAAAAGCCAAGGAGGGACCUUUGCGUGAGGCCGAGAGCCCACCUGUCCAUCGGCAUCCGCAUCAUGGAGCAGGACGGGGAGGGCUGGACCCGGGGCUGCAGAGAGCCAGCUCCAUUUAAUCGCUGCUCCAGUGACAUGUGUGUUAAUGAGGGAGGAAAGAAAAAGGACCCCCUAACAGAUGGAGAGAGAGGCUCUGAUUACUGAAAACAGUUUUACAGUCUCCUGUACACGGCCUGUGAGGACCCUCACUCCAGGAUCAGCUCUCAUUUUCGUGGAUUGGGACCUGCCCUUUGGUGAUAUUGGGAAUGUUGGAGGAGCAAUGCCUGGAUCUCCCUCUAUGCUGCCCAUGAGGCUAUCUGCAUCUUUCACCUUUCCAGAUAAGGAAAAUGAGACAUGAAGAGGUUAAGUUGUCCAAGGUCACAUGCAGGAGUUGACAUUUGUGAGGAGUCCAGGACAGUCAUUUUGCAGAUUAUGCGGCUUAUUUGUUCAACAGUUCACAGUAAACACCUCCUGUGUGCCGGGCACUGUACUGUGAGAGGAGAACAUCGUCGUCAAGAAAAACUUGAAGUGAAAGAAGACACUGAUGAUCAAAUGACAUGUGUGAGCAGUUGCAGAUUUUUCCAAAAGGGAGGCUGCAUAAAUUCAAGUGUGGUUCCUGGACCAGCAGCAUCAGCAUCCCCUGAGAGCUUGUUAGAGAUGCAGAAUAUAAGGCCUCACUCCAGACCUCCUGAGUCAGAAUCUGCAUUUUAGGAAGAUUCCCCAAUGGAACUCUUAUCUUGCUAAAUGUAAUUUCAUCCUUUUAAGAAAAUGACAGCAUGUUUUUAUGCAUGCUGUUUUGUGGAGUAAUACAUUCCUGAUGAGAACAUCAUUUUUCAGUUAAAUAAGUCCUGAGGGUGGGACUGAAAGGACCAACAUGGAUAUAAUGUGUUGAUUGUGAUCACUCUGUUGACUGACUUUGCUUACAACCAUUGAUGUGGUCUGAUGAAAACUCAGCAUUUGCAAAUGCCAAGUGAGGCUGUCUGGAGAGGAUGAGUAGGAUUGGAGCUGUGUUUCGUUAAUGGAACACUAGCUGCUGCUAACCAAUAAAUGUCAACACUUCAGCGGCUUUACUUAUACAAGUUUAUUUCUUACUGGACGUCCCUGGUCAACAAGCAGUUCUUCACUAAGCAGUGCUUCUGCCUCCCAG